UGGGGAAUUUUGCACAAUGGGGGAAACCCUGAUGCAGCGACGCCGCGUGAUUUAGAAGGCCUUCGGGUUGUAAAAAUCUUUUCUAUGGGAAGAAAAUGACAGUACCAUAGGAAUAAGGACCGGCUAAUUACGUGCCAGCAGCCGCGGUAAUACGUAAGGUACGAGCGUUGUCCGGAAUCAUUGGGCGUAAAGGUUACGUAGGCGGGUAAGGAAGUUAGAAGUGAAAUCCUGUAGCUCAACUGCAGUAAGCUUUUAAAACUGCUCAUCUUGAGAUAUGGAAGGGAAAGUGUAAUUCCUAGUGUAGCGGUGAAAUGCGCAGACAUUAGGAGGAAUACCGGUGGCGAAGGAGACCUUCUGGCCAUACACUAACGCUGAGGUACGAAAGCGUGGGUAGCAAACAGG
rnacentral:rRNA from 1 species